GGAAAUAAAGCAUUUUUGAGAGCAUUAUCCAUAAGAAUGGAAACACAAGAAAAGGCAAAUGCAUAACAAAAACUGUGGAGCUUUUCCUAGAUGAUCGCUUGAUGAUCUGUUACAAAUUCAUAAUACAGAAAAAUUAAGUACUAGUGGUUGGUAUUAGUAGUCAUAUAACAUCAGCCAGAUAAUGUUCACAUCUAGAGGGCAGAAGCCAGAACAACUGGAUCAAGUCGAUAGUGGAACAGAUGUAAGGUGUGCCUACUUAUCUGAAGAACUAGCUGACUUCAAUGGUACGUAUAGACGUACAGUAAAAAAACAAUGCAUGUGUAGUUUUCUUCUGUCACUUACCUGCUCAUGACUGAUCAGAGAACGUGAAGAAGGUGGCUGAGAAAAUCCACUCAGAUGUGCCAGUGCAGAAGCAAGAGCAUGAGAUCCUAGUUCUUCUGUUAAUCUCUCAGCUGCUCCAAGGAAGAACUGGGUUGACUCUGGGUGCACCCCUCGCAGUGUAGCAAUGACAUGCUCAGCAGAUGACUCCAGCACUUCUUCCAUGGAUGGAGGACUUAUAAACUCAAACUUGCAACCAACAUCACGCUCAAGUGACUUAACUGUCCUUUUCUGGCUACUUGUAAACAUCAAAAUUGCAGUUCCUACUUUCCCAGCCCGUCCAGUGCGUCCAGAACGAUGG
rnacentral:lncRNA from 1 species